rnacentral:rRNA from 1 species
UGCAAGUCGAGCGAGGGUUUGCUCAGUAUUGAGUAUUCUAAGACUAGAAUGUUCAAUUCUGAGCAAAAUCAAGCGGCGGACGGGUGAGUAACGCGUGGGUAACCUGCCCUAUACACAUGGAUAACAUACUGAAAAGUUUACUAAUACAUGAUAAUAUAUAUUUGCGGCAUCGCAAAUAUAUCAAAGUGUUAGCGGUAUAGGAUGGACCCGCGUCUGAUUAGCUAGUUGGUGAGAUAACUGCCCACCAAGGCGACGAUCAGUAGCCGGCCUGAGAGGGUGAUCGGCCACAUUGGAACUGAGACACGGUCCAAACUCCUACGGGAGGCAGCAGUGGGGAAUAUUGCACAAUGGGCGAAAGCCUGAUGCAGCAACGCCGCGUGAACGAUGAAGGUCUUCGGAUCGUAAAGUUCUGUUGCAGGGGAAGAUAAUGACGGUACCCUGUGAGGAAGCCCCGGCUAACUACGUGCCAGCAGCCGCGGUAAUACGUAGGGGGCUAGCGUUAUCCGGAUUUACUGGGCGUAAAGGGUGCGUAGGUGGUCCUUCAAGUCGGUGGUUAAAGGCUACGGCUCAACCGUAGUAAGCCGCCGAAACUGGAGGACUUGAGUGCAGGAGAGGAAAGUGGAAUUCCCAGUGUAGCGGUGAAAUGCGUAGAUAUUGGGAGGAACACCAGUAGCGAAGGCGGCUUUCUGGACUGCAACUGACACUGAGGCACGAAAGCGUGGGUAGCAAACAGGAUUAGAUACCCUGGUAGUCCACGCUGUAAACGAUGAGUACUAGGUGUCGGGGGUUACCCCCCUCGGUGCCGCAGCUAACGCAUUAAGUACUCCGCCUGGGGAGUACGCACGCAAGUGUGAAACUCAAAGGGAUUGACGGGGACCCGCACAAGUAGCGGAGCAU